rnacentral:tRNA from 1 species
AGAAGUUUAGGAUAAACAAAAGUCCAAGGGCCUUCAAAGCCCUAAGUAAAUUUAACCAUUUAACUUCUG